UGUGGGAGCGAGCCUGCUCGCGAAGCGGUGUAUCAGAUAUUUUUUUGUCGACUGACACACCGCAUCGCGAGCAGGCUCGCUCCCACA
rnacentral:misc_RNA from 1 species